rnacentral:rRNA from 1 species
UUAAGCAAAUAAGCGUGUAUGGUGAAUGCCUUGGCAGUCAGAGGCGAAGAAGGACGUGCUAAUCUGCGAAAAGCGUCGGUAAGCUGAUAUGAAGCGAUAUAACCGUCGAUAUCCGAAUGGGGAAACCCGAUACAUUAUUUGUAUCAUUAUUAAUUAAAUUAAAUAGAUUAAUAAAGCAAACCAAGGGAACUGAAACAUCUAAGUACCUUGAGGAAAAGAAAUCAAUUGAGAUUCCCUUAGUAGUGGCGAGCGAAAGGGGAAAAGCCCAGAGCUAUAAUCAAAUCAUUUUAUAGUAGAAUGAUUUUGGAAAAUUCAGCGAUACAUGGUGAUAGCCCAGUAUACGAAAUAAAAUGUUUUGUGAGUUCGAAAAGUAGAGCGGGACACGAGAAAUCCUGUUUGAAUAUGGGGGGACCAUCCUCCAAGGCUAAAUACUCCUGACUGACCGAUAGUGAACUAGUACCGUAAGGGAAAGGCGAAAAGAACCCCGGCUAGGGGAGUGAAAUAGAACCUGAAACCGUACACGUACAAGCAGUGGAAGCAUUUGGAAACAUGAAAUGUGACUGCGUACCUUUUGUAUAAUGGGUCAGCGACUUGUAUUCUGUAGCAAGGUUAACCGAAUAGGGGAGCCGUAGGGAAACCGAGUCCUAAAUAGGCGUUAAGUUUCAGGAUACAGACCCGAAACCCGGUGAUCUAGCCACGGGCAGGUUGAAGGUUGGGUAAAACCAACUGGAGGACCGAACCGACUGAUGUUGAAAAAUCAGCGGAUGACCUAUGGCUAGGGGUGAAAGGCCAAUCAAACCGGGAGAUAGCUGGUUCUCCCCGAAAGCUAUUUAGGUAGCGCCUCGUGAAUUCAUCUACGGGGGUAGAGCACUGUUUCGGUUAGGGGGCCAUCCCGGCCUACCAAUCCGAUGCAAACUCCGAAUACCGUAGAAUGUUAUCACGGGAGACACACAGCGGGUGCUAACGUUCGUUGUGGAAAGGGAAACAACCCAGACCGCCAGCUAAGGUCCCAAAGUCAUAGUUAAGUGGGAAACGAUGUGGGAAGGCAUAAACAGCCAGGAUGUUGGCUUAGAAGCAGCCAUCAUUUAAAGAAAGCGUAAUAGCUCACUGGUCAAGUCGGCCUGCGCGGAAGAUGUAACGGGGCUCAAACUAUGCACCGAAGCUGCGGCAGCAAAAAUUUAUUUUUUUGUUGGGUAGGGGAGCGUUCUGUAAGCCAUCGAAGGUAUAUUGUAAAAUAUGCUGGAGGUAUCAGAAGUGCGAAUGCUGACAUGAGUAACGAUAAAGCAGGUGAAAAACCUGCUCGCCGAAAGACCAAGGUUUCCUGUCCAACGUUAAUCGGGGCAGGGUGAGCCGACCCCUAAGGCGAGGCUGUAAAGCGUAGUCGAUGGAUAACAGGUUAAUAUUCCUGUGCUUAAUUUUAUUGCGAAGGGGGGACGAAGAAGGUUAGGUUAUCCAGGUGACGGUUAUCCUGGUUUAAGUGUGUAGGUAUGAUAAUUAGGCAAAUCCGGUUAUCUUUAAUCUGAGGCACGAUGACGAGUCAUUAAGGUGAUGAAGUAACUAACACCACGCUUCCAAGAAAAGCCUCUAAGCAUCAGGUAAAAUUAAAUCGUACCCCAAACCGACACAGGUGGUUAGGUAGAGAAUACUAAGGCGCUUGAGAGAACCCAGGUGAAGGAACUAGGCAAAAUAGUGCCGUAACUUCGGGAGAAGGCACGCUAAUGUUAAGUGAAAGGAUUUACUCCUAUAGCUGAAGUUAGUCGAAGAUACCAGCUGGCUGCAACUGUUUAUUAAAAACACAGCACUGUGCAAACACGAAAGUGGAAGUAUACGGUGUGACGCCUGCCCGGUGCCGGAAGGUUAAUCGAAGGAGUUAAAGGAAACUUAAAGCUCUGAACUGAAGCCCCGGUAAACGGCGGCCGUAACUAUAACGGUCCUAAGGUAGCGAAAUUCCUUGUCGGGUAAGUUCCGACCUGCACGAAUGGCGUAAUGAUGGCCAGGCUGUC